CCUUCUGGCAUCCCUAGUACGGCGAGUGAGCGGGAAGAGCUCAAAUUUGAAAUCUUAAAGGGUUUCCCUUUACGAAUUGUAGUUUAAAGAAGUGUUUUCUGUUGGAGUUUCGGUAAAAGUUCUUUGGAAUAGGACAUCAUAGAGGGUGAGAAUCCCGUAUUUGACCGUUACUUUCCAGCUGUGUGAUACACUUUCAAAGAGUCGGAUUGUUUGGGAAUGCAGUCCAAAAUGGGUGGUAAAUUUCAUCUAAAGCUAAAUAUUGGCGAGAGACCGAUAGCGAACAAGUACCGUGAGGGAAAGAUGAAAAGAACUUUGAAAAGAGAGUUAAACAGUACGUGAAAUUGUCAAAAGGGAAGCGUUUGACACCAGUGUUGUUUAGUUGAAAAUCAAUUCAAUAAUUUUUGAUUUUGAGUAGUAUUGACUUCAUCAGCUUGCUGCUUUCUUUUCAGAAAUUAUUGAAUGCACUUUUCAGUUAACAAGUCAACAUCAAUUUCUUUUGUUGUAAAAGGGUAAGAGGAAGGUGGCUUACGCUUCGGCGUAAGUGUUUAUAGCCUUUUACCUCUGCAAUCGGAGAGAUUGAGGACAGCAGCGUAGACUCUUCGGGGUUAGAUACACUUGUGCUAAGCUAUAGCCUUGUAUAGACAACUUGUUGACUAUGCUCAGUCAUGUAGCUUACUCGCUUGUGCUAUUUUACCUACGCUUAGGAUGUUGACAAAAUGGGUUUAAACGACCCGUCU
rnacentral:rRNA from 1 species